UUCACCGCGGCCGAGGAGAAGACGGUGGUGACCGUUAUGUAAUGCCGUUAGCGCAUUAACGUCUAGGGCGCUUCGCGUGCCGCGAGCGCGCCACGCGGCGGCGACGACGCGAGUAUCGAUAUUUUGUGCAUUUAUGUAACGAAGGUCGUGCAUACGGCCUUUUCGGCAGCUUACAUAACUUUCUCGCAACCGUCACCGACCGAUCGCAUAUAGCCACGAAAAAGCCUAUAUCGGCAAUCGCUCGGGGAUGGAUCGAUAUCCCAAUGGAACGUACCGUUCGGCCAGAUGGCAGGCGGCGCAUAGCGGCUUCUCGCUAACGACCGUGCAACGAAGACGUGCCUCCGAUCGAUGACGGUGCGGUCCAAUAUGGCCGCCACGGUCUUUCGGUCGGCCACGAGACCGAAUUUCUUCCCGCUUGCCUACUUCCGCGCGUCACAAAUCGACUGCGUUCAGCGGAACGAAGCGAUCAGUCAGUGAUUUACUGGUCUUUACCGUCAGAUCCCUAAAUCUAGACCAAUUACUGCUGAUGAAUUGCUUAACCGUUGUGUCCGCUGAACGUAUUCAUUCACACCGUCCAUAGAGUCACCCUGCUGAUUCAUUCCUGUCGUGCGAUCAAGACUAGCGUCUUUGGCACGAUCUCUUUUCGAUGCGCAGCGCGAGAAACAUGUCAUUGUCGCGAUAACUUGCAGUUUCAACUCAUUAGGUUCUGAAUUUCAGCACUGGCAGUGAAUUUCGGAACGCAGCCUAAAUUAAUUGGUACAGUAUAGAUUUAGAAUAAAAUCGCCGAGUUAAAUUGAUUGCGAUGAGGAGAUUGAGAUAACUGGGAAGAUUUUGUAAUCUGUCAGUGUACAGCAAGCAAUUUUAAAUUUAUGUACGUAACAGUUGCUUUUAGAAUUGAUGAAACUAAAGAUUGGCAAAUACGCUGCAGUCAACAACUCAAAUUUUUAUUUGAUGUAAAGCAAUUCGUAUGUAGUUAUUGAAAUUCCACUUUGAUUUUGUAUAUGAAGUGUCAAAACUAUAGUAAUUCAUAUUGUUCAUGAAUCUUUUAAGUUUUUGUCAUUCAAAUUCUUACUAAAGCUCUUUAAUAAGUA